GUGGGGAAUAUUGGACAAUGGGCGAAAGCCUGAUCCAGCCAUGCCGCGUGUGUGAAGAAGGUCUUCGGAUUGUAAAGCACUUUAAGUUGGGAGGAAGGGUAGUAACCUAAUACGUUGCUACUUUGACGUUACCGACAGAAUAAGCACCGGCUAACUUCGUGCCAGCAGCCGCGGUAAUACGAAGGGUGCAAGCGUUAAUCGGAAUUACUGGGCGUAAAGCGCGCGUAGGUGGUUCAGUAAGUUGGAAGUGAAAUCCCCGGGCUCAACCUGGGAACUGCCUCCAAAAAUGCAUGACUAGAGUACGGUAGAGGGUAGUGGAAUUUCCUGUGUAGCGGUGAAAUGCGUAGAUAUAGGAAGGAACACCAGUGGCGAAGGCGACUACCUGGACUGAUACUGACACUGAGGUGCGAAAGCGUGGGGAGCAAACAGGAUUAGAAACCCUUGUAGUCC
rnacentral:rRNA from 1 species